rnacentral:rRNA from 1 species
UACGGGGGGAGCAAGCGUUGUUCGGAUUUACUGGGCGUAAAGGGCGCGUAGGCGGUCAGCACAAGUCAGUUGUGAAAUCUCCGGGCUUAACUCGGAAAGGUCAACUGAUACUGUGCGACUAGAGUGCAGAAGGGGCAACUGGAAUUCUCGGUGUAGCGGUGAAAUGCGUAGAUAUCGAGAGGAACACCUGCGGCGAAGGCAGCUCACUGGGACGGUACUGACGCUGAGACGCGAAAGCGUGGGGAGCAAACAGG